rnacentral:tRNA from 1 species
GGUGUAGCUUAGUGGUAAAGCACUUGCCUAAUAUAUGCAAACCCCUGGGUUCAAACCCCAGGACCA